UGGGGAAUUUUGGACAAUGGGCGAAAGCCUGAUCCAGCAAUGCCGCGUGUGUGAAGAAGGCCUUCGGGUUGUAAAGCACUUUUGUCCGGAAAGAAAUCCUUGGCUCUAAUACAGUCGGGGGAUGACGGUACCGGAAGAAUAAGCACCGGCUAACUACGUGCCAGCAGCCGCGGUAAUACGUAGGGUGCAAGCGUUAAUCGGAAUUACUGGGCGUAAAGCGUGCGCAGGCGGUUUGCUAAGACCGAUGUGAAAUCCCCGGGCUCAACCUGGGAACUGCAUUGGUGACUGGCAGGCUAGAGUAUGGCAGAGGGGGGUAGAAUUCCACGUGUAGCAGUGAAAUGCGUAGAGAUGUGGAGGAAUACCGAUGGCGAAGGCAGCCCCCUGGGCCAAUACUGACGCUCAUGCACGAAAGCGUGGGGAGCAAACAGGACUAGAUACCCUGGUAGUCCACGCCCUAAAACGAUGUCAACUAGUUGUUGGGGAUUCAUUUCCUUAGUAACGUAGCUAACGCGUGAAGUUGACCGCCUGGGGAGUACGGUCGCAAGAUUAAAACUCAAAUGAAUUGACGGGGUCAUA
rnacentral:rRNA from 1 species